rnacentral:lncRNA from 1 species
CUAAUGUGUGUGUGGAAUAAAUAGAAAGAAGGGUGGCACCUUCCUCUCUUUAUGGCAAGACCAAGGGGCACCAAUCCCCUGGAUAAUGCAAGAGGAGCCCGCCCUCUCUUGUGGCAUGACAUGGAGGAGAGAGAGAGAGAGGGGCCACGCUCCCUUCUUGAAUGAAAAUCCUAGAAUGGGGUGCCAACCCACUUGCCCUGUAUUCCAUGGGUGCCCAUUCAGAUUUCAUAUCUGACUAGGAU